GCCAUGUCAUCUGCAUAUGAGCUGGCAGCAGAUAUCCAAAAGGACUUUCUGGGCCACACAGUCCAUUGUCAUGUUAUUGGAGACUCCACAUAAUCUAAAGACCAUAUUACUUCCAAUUUUUGCAUUUGAAUCUGGUCAUCAGGAACAUACAGACUGGAGGCUUAAGUUUCAGCAUUUCCUGGAAAGGACAUCUUAAGCGAGCCAUGGAAACAGAUGACUAUGAAACUAUAAGCACUGGAAUGA